CUUCGGGGAUAGUUGCGCACGGGUGCGUAACGCGUGGGGAAUCUGCCCUUGGGUUCGGAAUAACUUCUGGAAACGGAAGCUAAUACCGGAUGAUGACGUAAGUCCAAAGAUUUAUCGCCCAAGGAUGAGCCCGCGUAGGAUUAGCUAGUUGGUGAGGUAAAGGCUCACCAAGGCGACGAUCCUUAGCUGGUCUGAGAGGAUGAUCAGCCACACUGGGACUGAGACACGGCCCAGACUCCUACGGGAGGCAGCAGUAGGGAAUAUUGGACAAUGGGGGAAACCCUGAUCCAGCAAUGCCGCGUGAGUGAUGAAGGCCUUAGGGUUGUAAAGCUCUUUUACCCGGGAUGAUAAUGACAGUACCGGGAGAAUAAGCUCCGGCUAACUCCGUGCCAGCAGCCGCGGUAAUACGGAGGGAGCUAGCGUUGUUCGGAAUUACUGGGCGUAAAGCGCACGUAGGCGGCUAUUCAAGUCAGAGGUGAAAGCCCGGGGCUCAACCCCGGAACUGCCUUUGAAACUAGAUAGCUUGAAUCCAGGAGAGGUGAGUGGAAUUCCGAGUGUAGAGGUGAAAUUCGUAGAUAUUCGGAAGAACACCA
rnacentral:rRNA from 1 species